GUCGCUCGACCUUGUUCGUGACCUCGUCACAUUCUCGAGCCAACACGAACACCUUGGGAGUUCGUCGCCGGGUCGCCCGUGGGCGCCCUGGGAGAGCACCCACCUGCGAGAGCAGGUUCGAGAAUAGCGCGAGCACGGCAAGGUGGAGCCCUU
rnacentral:other from 1 species